UGGGGAAUUUUGGACAAUGGGCGAAAGCCUGAUCCAGCAAUGCCGCGUGUGUGAAGAAGGCCUUCGGGUUGUAAAGCACUUUUGUCCGGAAAGAAAUCCUUGGCUCUAAUACAGUCGGGGGAUGACGGUACCGGAAGAAUAAGCACCGGCUAACUACGUGCCAGCAGCCGCGGUAAUACGUAGGGUGCAAGCGUUAAUCGGAAUUACUGGGCGUAAAGCGUGCGCAGGCGGUUUGCUAAGACCGAUGUGAAAUCCCCGGGCUCAACCUGGGAACUGCAUUGGUGACUGGCAGGCUAGAGUAUGGCAGAGGGGGGUAGAAUUCCACGUGUAGCAGUGAAAUGCGUAGAGAUGUGGAGGAAUACCGAUGGCGAAGGCAGCCCCCUGGGCCAAUACUGACGCUCAUGCACGAAAGCGUGGGGAGCAAGCAGGAUUAGAUACCCUGGUAGUCCACGCCCUAAACGAUGUCAACUAGUUGUUGGGGAUUCAUUUCCUUAGUAACGUAGCUAACGCGUGAAGUUGACCGCCUGGGGAGUACGGUCGC
rnacentral:rRNA from 1 species